AUGCCCCGCAGACCCCGCAGACCCCGCCUCGCCGCGCCCCGACGCCCCGCGGCCCGGCCCGGCCCGGCCCCCCGCCCCCCGCCCCCCGCGCCGGGUCCUCCCCUCCCCCGCCCCGGCGGCCCCAGCCCCCCGCCCGGCCCGGCUCCGCGCCGCGCUCCCGCCCUCCUCCCUCCCUCCCUGCCGGCCGCGGAGCAGCAUGGCGGAGCCCGGGCAGCGGCCGCGCGGCCGCCCGCCGCCCCUCUGAGCCCGGCCCCGGGGCAGCCGGGCGCCCCCGCCCCGCCGCCCGCCCGCCCGCCCCGCCGCGCCCGCCGCCGCCGCACUUGUCCCGCCGCGCGCCCCCCGCCGCGCCGCGCCCCCGGGACCCCCGGGACCCCCGGGACCCCGCGCCCCCGCGCCCCCGCGCCCCGCCCGCCCCGGGACCCCGCGCCCCCGGGAGCUCGGCGCGGCUGCGGGGCGUCGGCGCGCGCUCGGAGCCCGGGGCCCCCCGCCCCGCCCCGCCCACACGGCUGCCGGCGCCCCGCCGCUGCAGCCCCGCGCCCGCGAGGAGCCUCCGCGCCCCGUCCCCGGCAGGAUGCUCGCCGCGCUGGCGGGGCCGCUGCUCGCCGCCCUCCUCGCCGCCGCCCGCGCCCGCCCGCAGCCCCCGGACGCAGGACAGUGCCGGCCGCCCGGAUCGGUGAGCGCGCCCGCCCGCCCGGCCGGCCCGCGGGGACGGGGACGGGGACCGGGACGGGGACCAAGACGGGGACCGGGACGGGGACCGGGACGGGGACGGGGACCAAGGCGGGGACCGGGACGGGGACCGGGACGGGGACCAAGGCGGGGACCGGGACGGGGACCAAGGCGGGGACCGGGACGGGGACGGGGACCGGGACGGGACCAGGACGGGGACCGGGACGGAGACCAAGACGGGGACGGGGACCGGGACGGGGACCAAGACGGGGACGGAGACCGGGACGGGGACCGGGACGGGGACCAAGACGGGAACGGGGACCGGGACGGGGACGGAGACCGGGACGGGGACGGGCCCCCGGGACGCGUCCUCCCCGCGCCCCGCCUGCGCCCUCCGCCCGCCCGCCGCCCGCAGCGCACCCCGACCCCGGCUCCGGUCCGCCCUCCAGCAGCCCCGGUCCCCGCGCUGCCCUCUCCCCUGCCCGCGCUCCCACCUAA
rnacentral:lncRNA from 1 species